rnacentral:sRNA from 1 species
AAGAGCAAGGAGUGUCGAGAAUGGCGACCAAGCGGCUCGCGCGGUACUGGAGGGGGUUCCGGGUCGGGGGCGGGUAACUCCGGGUCCGGCGCUGGCGUUGGCGGCAGAGCAGGGCACAGCAGGUGGCAUCUGCGGUGAGGGCCUCCAUUCCCCGCAGCCCCAGCGUCUGCGACCUGCCCUCUCUGGCAUGGCUGGAAAGGAGCUUCCCUGGACCUUGGUCUUCAGCCUUGGGCCACCUUCUGCCUGAGGGUGACAGGAGCCCGAGGCCGACGAACCCUGGGGUCUUGACUGUGUGGCCUUGAGCCAGUGCCUGCCCAUUUUAGGCCUUGGGAAACGACUGGACGUGACAGUGCCCUGCAGACUGGUUGGAGGUCUCAGGCAGGCCACACACUGAAUCCGUCAAGGCAGCUUGGAUUAAUUAGGAGAAAGUCAAUUGCACCAGCAAAUGGAAAUCUAGGAAGAAGGAAAUCCAUUGUUUGACUACUUAAUUGUCAUUGAUUUUGAAUCGACAUGCUGGAAUGAUGGGAAGCACCACCAUAGCCAGGAAAUAAUUGAAU